UGGGGGUAUUUAUGUAAGAGAGAAUGGAAGCAUAUUGAAUGCCUCAUCAAGAACACCAUACAAGAAGUAAAUAUAGAUGAGGAUAUCUCGCUUUUGCCUUUUUUUCAUUCAGAAAUAAGCAAAAUAUAUUUCUCUUUACUUUCUCUAAGUUCACUUCUGGUCUGAAAGUAAGAGGCUUUCCUAGUAAAACUGUGCAUGGACAGCUCUGGAACCUGACUACUCCCUGAAAAUCAUUUAGGACCUGAGGUAUAAAGACAACAGUUCAUUCUAGUGACCUUGAUGUACAGCUGACUAUUGAAUUCACUGUGAGUGCAUUUAUGGUUACAGAAGCACCACCUGUGAUUAAACUUAAGUUUUCUUCUGGGCUAGGGAGAAAUUCUAAAUAUGUACUGAGGAAACUAGAGAGAUAUUCCUGUGAAGCAGAGUUCACAUUUCACAGUUAGAAUUCAAAUUGUGCUUUCAGGCAAUUAAUGGUGGUGAUGUUCUUACUGAAGUGUGCCUGGGUCCAAGACUCCUUGAAGAGCACAGAGGGCUGCCCAGCAAGUGCACCUUCAGAGGGCACCAACCACAGCAUGGUUGCAACCUGCAGCGCUGUAUGUAAUAGCCUGGCAUGUGGAUGCCAUGAUCAGCUCCAAAGCCGCUGAAUAAUCUGUAGGGCUUCAUACUCUUUAUUCAAUAGGGAGGCAGAAUCCCUGUUCUCCAUAAGAGAAACUCUCGAGGUUGUCUGACACAGUCUUCCCUGAAUAUUAAUCAGAAUAGAAAGCUUGGAGUUCCUGUUGUGGCUCAGCGGGUUAAGGACUUGACACUGUGAGGAUAUGGGUUCGAUCCCUGGCCUCACUCAGUGGGUUCAGGAUCUGGUGUUGCUGCAAGUUGCAUCAUAGGUCACAGAUGCAGCUUGGAUCCAGUGUUGCCCUGGCUCUGGUGUAGGCCCCAGGAACUUCUAUGUGCCACAGGUGCGGCAAUAAAACAAAAAACAAACAAAAAAAGCGUAGAAAGUCUGUGUCCCUUUAUCACUAAAUAACUUUUGCAAUUGACAAUCACACAUUGACUGAGUUUACCCACUUCGUAAUUCAAAUAAGGUUUCAAACACUUAGAUCACAUGAUCGUCUUUAAAAAAAUUACAGUCCUACUGGAAUAUAAUUCACAAUUCAUACAGUUCCCUCCAUAGUUUUCAGAGUAUUCCAAGGAUGUGAAACCAUUACCACAUUUUCAUCUCCCCAGAGAAGAGCUCCAUACCCACUGGCAGUCACUCUCUAGUCCUCAUGAGUCCUGCCUCUAUGAAUUUGCCCAUUCUGGACUGCUGUGAACAUUCAUAUAGAACAUUCAUUUUCUUGUGUAAAUACCUAGAAGUAGAAUGACUGGUUGUAUGAUAACUCUUAAGUUUAAGCUUUUGAGGAAUUUUCAGAUUCUUUCCCAAAGUGACUACACCAUUUUACAUUCCUACCAGUGAAGUACGAAGUUUCCAGUUAAUCCACAUCUUUGCCAGAACUUGUUAUUGUCCAUCUCUUUGAGUAUAGAGAUCCUGAUGGACAUGAAGUGGUAUCUUGUGGUUUUGAUUUGUAUUUUGCUAAUGACUAAUGGUGUUGAGCAUCUUUGCUUGUGUUUAUUGGCAAUUUGUAUAUCUUCUUUGGAAAAAUGUUUAUUCAAGUCCUUUGCCUAUUUUUUAAUUGGUAUUUUCAUCUUUUUAUUCCUUUUUUAAUUGAAGUACAAUUGAUGUACAGUAUCAUAAGAGUUUCAAGUAUAUCUCUAGUGAUUUGAUAUUUACAUAUGCUUUAAAAUGGCCACCACGGUAAGUCUAGCUUCCAUGUGUCACCAAAGUUAUUGCAAUAUUAUUGACUAUAUUCCCUAUGCUGUAAAUUGCACCCCCCUGCCUUAUUUAUUUUAUUACUGGAAGUUUACACUUUAAUCUCCUCCACCUAUGCCAUCUCCCAACCCCCCUUCCCCUCUGGCAACCACUAGUUUGCUUUCUGUAUCCACGAGUCUGUUUCCAUUUUGAUUCAUUUGUUCAUUUAUUUUGUUUUUUAGAUUCUACAUAUAAGUGAAAUCAUAAGUAAUUGUAUUUAUCUAACUUAUUUCACUGAGCAUAAUACCCUCUAGAUCCAUCCGUGUUAUUACAAAUGCUCAGAUUUCAUUCUUUGUUAUGGCUACAUAACAAAGUGUGUGUUUGUGUGUGUGUGUGUGUGUGUGUGUGUGUACACCGACUACAUCCUCUUUAUCCAUCCUUCUCUAGAUGGACACUUAGGUUGUUUGUAUACCUUGACUAUUGUAAAUAAUGGUGCAAUGAACAUAAGGAUGCAUAUAUCUUUUCCAGCUGGUAUUUUCAUUUUCUUCACAUCAAUACCCAGAAGUUGAAUUACUGGAUCAAAUAGUAGUUCUAUUUUUAAUUUUUUGAAGAACCUCCAUUCUGUUUUCCAUAGUGGCUUCACCAACUUAACAUUCCUUCCAGCAGUGCAUGAUGGUUCCCUUCAGAUCAAUACCCAGAAGUUGAAUUAUUGGAUUAUUUAAAAAUUUUGGUUAAAUCCAAUUAACCUAUUUUUUUCUUUUUUCGCUUGCUCUUCAUAUCAUAUCUAAGAAACCAUUGCCCUACCCAAGUUCGCAAAGAUUUAUUCUACAAUUUCUUCUAAGAGUUUUAUAGUUUGCUCUUACAUUUAGGUCGAUGAUCAUUUUGAGUUAAUUACUGUAUGUAGUAUUAGGUAUUAUUUUUCAUGUGAAAUUCAGUUGUCCUAGCACCAUUUAUUAAAAGACUGUUCUUUCUCCAUU
rnacentral:lncRNA from 1 species